AGAUGUUUCUUGGACAACUCCGAUUCAAAUGGAAGACGUCACAGGAAGUAUGCGAGACAUUGCACAAUUCGAAGAUCUGAAACAAUUUUACUAUACAAGUGAGUGCCAGUGAGUAUUUUUCUUGAAUUCUGUUACUUUUUUUUAUUUUUAGGGGGAAUCGUGAAUAUUUCACGGAAUUAAUGGUAAACCCAAUGGGCUAUUUCUGAAAACUUUAUUCCUCUGUUGUGUCUGUAUGGAAAGAAAGUUGCUCAUCUGCUACUCAUUGAAAAGUGAAAGAAAUUGGGAUGCAAUGAGUACUUGAUGCAUUUUAUGCAGAAUACGCGCUCUCUCAAAGGUGUCGACUCCCUCCUUAACACUACAUCCACGAUUUCUUAUUUUUAUUUACAUAUACGCAUGCACCCACUGCCACUACAUGUAUAUAAACGUGAAUUGAAUUUUUUACAGACAAAUAACUGGUUGUGAGAUGUGCACGUGCGAGACUGAGAAACAUCUCAUUUCCAUGGUCUGCGAAAACAUCAGCGAGGGAGGUGAAGUUCAGUAUUUUGUCGGAAGGUUUCCUGUUGAGCAAUGCUGCGUAUGUGUACCUAACAACACAAGUAAUACAUAAUGUUUUACCUCGUCUUUUCAUACCUCUUCCCACUCCAUCCUCUUUAAACUAAAUUACUGUCUUUUUCCCUCAUCCUUCACACUUUCACCUUCUGUCACACAGUAACUUUGCUUUUCUCUUUCUUACUUUUCCUUCCUUUCCUUUAAAUUUUCUUUUUAUCGGGAUAUAUUUUUAUCAUUUUUUUUACUCAUUCUAAUCUCAAUUGCAUUUCUUAAUCUUUAAUUUAAAUUUUGGCUUCUUUUAUAUUCUAGUUUUAUUACUUGUUAUUUCUUAACCUUGACAUAGUCUGUAUCAUCCUGUUAAUUUUUCA
rnacentral:lncRNA from 1 species